GUCAAAAGUCUUGUAAAAAAUGAAACAUGGGAAAUUGUUCAAAAGCCGAGAAAUCGAAAAGCGGUAGGAUGCCGAUAUGUAUUGACAACGAAGCUUAACGUUGACAAAACCGAGAAGAAGAAAGCACGGUUGGUAGCCAAGGGCUACAGUCAACGAUAUGGCAUCGAUUACCGAAACACUUUUUCACCUGUCGUCCGACUAGACACGGUAAGACUGCUUACAGCGCUCGCGGUUGAAUUAGACAUGGAGAUACACCAGUUGGAUAUCAAUACUGCAUAUCUGAAUGGAUAUCUUGACGAGGAAAUUUAUAUGGAAGUUCCAGAAUUGUUGACAGAGUGCUUAGGUAGAAUUAUUAAAGAAGAAAGAGACGAAAGCUUAAAAGAGCAGGCUCGUAAGAUGUUAAAUGAUCUGAAGACAGGUGGAGAUGUAUGUCGAUUGAAGAAAUCACUGUAUGGCUUGAAACAAGCUGGACGUCAAUGGAACAAAAGACUUGACAAUAAAUUGAAGUCAAUGCAUUUUAAACAGUCUUUGAAGGAACCGUGUCUCUACUAUUUGGACGGUAACUCCAUUGAUACGUCUAUAUACUUAGCGGUUUAUGUUGAUGAUUUACUGAUAGUUUCACGCAAUAAAGGUCUCAUACAAUCUUUCAAAGAUGAACUUUCCAAAGAGUUUGAUUUAAAAGACUAUGGACUGGCGAAAUAUAUUUUAGGCAUUGACAUUGUCAAAAAUGAGUAUGCCACGAAACUGUCACAACAAAAAUAUAUUAAUGAUUUGAUGAUAAAAUUCGGCAUGGAGAAUUGUAAAGAAACAGUGACCACGCCGAUGGAGCAGGAACUCGUCCGGAUAUCACACACGCCGUGACAAGAUUAGCAGCGUUUUGUGAUAAUCCUGGACAGAUACAGUGGAAUGCGGUGAAAAGAUUACUUCGUUAUCUUAAGAGGACAGCCGAUUAUGGACUGAUUUAUCGAAAAACAG